GACGAACGCUGGCGGCGUGCUUAACACAUGCAAGUCGAACGGAAAGGCCUUUUCGGAGGUACUCGAGUGGCGAACGGGUGAGUAACACGUGGGUGAUCUGCCCUGCACUCUGGGAUAAGCCUGGGAAACUGGGUCUAAUACCGGAUAGGACCGCACUUUAGUGUGUGUGGUGGAAAGUUUUUUCGGUGUAGGAUGAGCCCGCGGCCUAUCAGCUUGUUGGUGGGGUAAUGGCCUACCAAGGCGGCGACGGGUAGCCGGACUGAGAGGUUGGUCGGCCACAUUGGGACUGAGAUACGGCCCAGACUCCUACGGGAGGCAGCAGUGGGGAAUAUUGCACAAGGGGCGCAAGCCUGAUGCAGCGACGCCGCGUGGGGGAUGACGGCCUUCGGGUUGUAAACUCCUUUCGCCAGGGACGAAGCGUUUUGUGACGGUACCUGGAGAAGAAGCACCGGCUAACUACGUG
rnacentral:rRNA from 1 species